UAAAACCAGGCUGUUUUGGGCAAAGCAGCAUUCCCUGACCCCAAGGGCAUCUGGAGCCAAGUGAUUCCUGUUGGAUUUGCUGCUGCCUGAACACCAAGACCUUCAUCAGCCCUGCGAAGACGUGGGAGUGGUGGAUCAGCCAUGAAGAUCCUGUACCUGCUCUUCCCCUUGCUCCUCCUGCUGGUCCAGGGUGCUGCAGGAGAUCCAACUGAAUGCAGACGGCGAGGGGGAUACUGCACUUUUCGGAAUUGCCCCU